AUUCGAAAACGGGCGCUCGAAGAGUGAGCAACAAUACGCGUUACCGUUGGUCAAAUCGGUCGGUCGGUGGUCGUCGUCGUCAUUUGGCGCGCGAAGUUCUUCACGCGCGUGUGAAAUCUCGUGAAAAAUAAAAGGGAUUAGUGUUUAUAGGGCUGGUUAAAGUGGAGAUUCUGAGUGUGAGAUUCUGAAUUGUGUGAAUGUGAAGUGAAAUUAGUGUUUGUGACAUAAUCCAGCGAGAAGCGUCUCGUUGAAUUCUGUAUUUAACCUGUGUUCAAACUUGGAUAGCUGCUGAUUUUAAAUCUCUGGAAGAAGAGAAUCUAAAAUCAGGAAAAAACGACCAAAACAGCGAACAUAGCCCGAGGAUACAAUCGUUCGAUCUUCUUCAGCUGAACUGCGCCUCAUCUGCAAGACUGAUCGUUCCAUCCUUCCAUAAAAAUAUCGUUCAUAUUCGAAACCAAAACUAAACCAUCAAACCAACAAUGGAGGACGAUUCCCUGAAGAAGGACAUCCGAAAGGAUUCGGUGAAAAGUGCCACCAGCAAUGGAACGGCUGGCGGUGGGGAUGGGGAAAUUACGCUCAAACCAAAGAUGACCCUGGUCAACGGAGUGACGGUGAUUGUCGGGUCGAUUAUCGGGUCCGGUAUCUUCGUGUCGCCAACGGGGGUCCUUAUCAACACCGGCAGUGUGAACAUGUCGCUGGUCGUUUGGGUGCUGUCGGGGCUGUUUUCGAUGGUCGGAGCAUACUGCUACGCCGAACUGGGAACGAUGAUCAAGAAAUCCGGCGCCGACUAUGCCUACAUCAUGGAAACCUUCGGACCCUUCCUGGCGUUCAUCCGUCUGUGGAUCGAGUGCAUGAUUGUGCGGCCUUGCUCGCAGGCCAUCGUCGCCCUCACGUUUAGCGUUUACGUCCUGAAGCCAUUCUUCCCCGAGUGUCAACCCCCGGAUGAUGCCGCUCGGCUGCUGGCCGUCUGCUGUAUCCUGGUGCUAACAUUCGUCAACUGUUGGGACGUCAAGUGGGCAACCGCCGUGCAGGACAUCUUCACCUAUGCCAAACUGUUGGCCCUGUUCAUCAUCAUUGGCGCCGGAGCGUACUUUUUGUUCAAAGGCAACACCGAGCACUUCACAUUUGAGAACACGAAAACCGAGGUCACAUCACUGGCGCUGUCCUUCUACUCGGGUCUGUUCGCCUACAACGGAUGGAACUAUCUGAACUUUAUCAUCGAAGAGUUGAAGGAUCCGGUUAAGAACCUACCGCGUGCCAUUGCCAUUUCCUGCACGCUGGUCACCGUCGUGUACGUCUUCACCAAUGUGUCGUUCUACACGGUGCUGUCGCCGGAGGAGGUGCUCGGUUCGCAGGCCGUUGCCGUCACCUUUGCCGAUCGGGUGUUUGGGAUGUUCGCGUGGACCAUUCCGGUUUUCGUGGCCCUGUCGACCUUCGGUGCCGUCAAUGGAAUUCUGCUGACGUCAUCGCGCCUUUUCUACGCCGGUGCCUGCGAAGGACAAAUGCCGGAGAUUCUGACCAUGAUUCAGAUCCAACGCCUGACUCCGACGCCGGCCGUCCUCAUCAUGGCGCUGCUCUCGAUGGUCUACCUGACCGUGUCGGACAUCUUCGCGCUGAUCAACUACGUUGGAUUUGCGACAUGGUUGAGCAUCGGUGUGGCCGUCCUGUGUCUACCAUGGCUUCGGUGGGCCCAGCCAAAUCUGGAACGCCCCAUUAAGGUGAAUUUGAUCUUCCCGAUUUUCUACCUGAUCGCCACGGUAUUUGUCACGGUGGUCCCGAUGAUCGCGAGCCCCGUCGAAACCGGCUACGGACUGCUCAUGAUCCUGACCAGCAUUCCCGUCUACUGCAUAUUCAUUGCGUGGCGAAACAAGCCCAAAUGGUUCAACCACACGAUGGGAGGAUUCACUCAGAGUUUGCAAAAGUUGAUGAUGGUGGUGCGGCCGAAGCAGAAGUAAAUUCCACCGGAGGGAAUUUUGUGAAGAUGUGAUGAAGUGAUGAAAAACAAGUGGGCGUCACACGAUUCCUGCAGAAAAUGCUCAUGGUCGUUGGUAAGGCCAAACCAGCUCAGGUUUAGACAGAAGAUGACAGAUUUAGACAGAAUCAGCAUCCGCUGACACAUCAUUCGCGCAUUCCGUUUGCGACCCAUAAAUACCAUUUUCAACGCAAAUCAGACGAAAAUAUUUAACAUUCCAAAAGAAGCCAUUGAGCAUCACCAAACCAGUCAUUCCAUGUAGAAAUCGGCUGUCAAAUGCGGGGAACAGCAGGGGAUAGCCAUAGAAGAUAGUUCAGAGAAGUUUUAGGUUUUCUUGUGUGGACAAGUCAGGAGAAGUUUAUGACAAGCAUACAUUCCUGUUUGUGUAUCGUUUUGAGUUUUCAUCAGAUUGUGAUUGUCGAUCAGUUGACUGUUUUACGACAUUCCCUCUCCAAGUUAGGUUAUAUUAGAUGAGCAAGAAAGUUAAGUUUUAAACAAUGACCUACAAGUCUGUUUGUUUCAGUGUUAUGAUUGAUAGAAAUUCGCGACGAGAACCGUAGCUGUACGAGUGUUUGUUCUAUUUUUCAAUUAUGUAUAAUUUUAGUGUUACGAUCCUACGUUCCUCAUAUAUUAAUUGUCUCUGUUAGGAUUGAUCAAUGUAAGACAAGGCAAUGCUGAAAGCAAAGCUCCAAUAAUUCCGUAUAAAACAAACCGUUACUUUUAUUCAGAUUUGAACGCAUUGGUUUUUAUUCAAGCGAAGACUACAUAUUGGAUAGACAUAAAACUUUGAACUUUCACAAAUAUGUUGUCUUUGAUUGGAAAACCCGGACAUACCGUGCCAAUACUAACCGAAAUAGGCUAGAGAACAUAUCAAGCGAAAAAAACGUAAAAUGAAUCUCAAAUGGUAUUAAUUAGCGCCAUAUCGCAACGAAGUCAAAACUUCCAACUCCAACCAGGUCUUUUUCGACUUUCUAUUUGCAAUUCUUUGUUUUGGGUUCUGAUCAAGCUCACGAUUACUCUUGCGUGGUUGGCAAAAGUGAAGCCGUAAUGUAUGAAUUCUAAACAGAAAUCGUUCAAAUUAUUACAUGUGUAAAGUAUUAGUCAGCAAAGAGUUCCAUCAUAUUAUUCGGUAACCAUAUGUAUAAUGAGCCAACAAUAAUGUUUUAAACGUGUUUUAUUGAAUGUCCUGCUUAAAAGAAAGAAGACAUGUUGACGAAAGUCGGUUUGAUUAGGAAAUGAAUGAGUUGAUAUACUGAGCCGACACUAAGUGUGCCACUAAGAAAGGUUAAAAACUUGUUGACAAUAAUCUAAAGUUUAGUGUUUAGAAAAAUUUUAAUGUCCAUACAUGCAUAUUAUUAUACAUAUACCGAGCGCAUUUACCAGAACCAACUACAUAAAUAACGACAGCGAAAAUGCAUUCCAUAUUAUAUGCGAGAAAAUCAUAUACAAAUCACUUUAUUCACACACAGAACAUAUUCAAUGUGAUCAAUAGCACAUCAAAAUAAUAGUCAAACUACAAAACUAUGAAUGUAAAUAACUCAAACAAAAAAAGAAUAGAAAGUAAAACCGGAACAAAACGAAACACAAUCAUCAGUUUAUCACAAGAGAGAACCCAAAACCAAGACCCAAUACAGGUAGGAAAUAUCCGACUCCGAAAACAAAUGCCAUUUACACGAAACCAGAUGUAGGAAAAAAGAAGUAAACUGGAAAAUGCUUUCGCUUGUUGGUCAUAGAGCGGAAAGAGUGCAGAGGAAAGUUAAAAAAGAGAGAAAAUUGGAAAAACACAAACGCAGCCUGAAAAGUCAGCUGGCACUGUGUAUGUCGAUGACUUUAGCUAUUAGAGAAUAAAUAAAACUGAAGUGUAUUAUUGCAAAUGAAA